ACCAGGUGGAACAUCAAGUGAGCUUCUCCCUAGAGUUAUCACAAUACUGAAUGAAUAUGCCAAUAGUCCUGACAGAAACAGACUCACAUCUAAAAGAGACCCACACUCCUGCCAGAAACCAACACACAUAUAAAAGAGACCCACACUCCUGCCACAAACCGACUCACAUCUUAAAGAGAUCCACACUCCUGCCAGAAACCAACACACAUCUAAAAGAGACCCACAUUCCUG